rnacentral:rRNA from 1 species
UACGGAGGGGGUUAGCGUUGUUCGGAAUGACUGGGCGUAAAGCGCGCGUAGGCGGAUCAGGAAGUUGGGGGUGAAAUCCCGGGGCUCAACCCCGGAAUGGCCUUCAAAACUCCUGGUCUUGAGUUCGAGAGAGGUGAGUGGAAUUCCGAGUGUAGAGGUGAAAUUCGUAAGAUAUCGGAGGAACACCAGUGGCGAAGGCGGCUCACUGGCUCGACACUGGACGCUGAGGUGCGAAAGCGUGGGGAGCAAACAGG